GGGGAUUGGGGGCUCUGGAGAACAGCGGCCUCCAUCUUUCUUCCCUGCAGGGAAGGUUGAAGAAGCAGCAGCGCCGAAGACGCUCACGAUGUCAAGAGGUACUAAUUGCAGCCUUGGCAAGGCAAUUAAGGCAAGGGAGCUGGGGAGAAAAAGCAGGCGAUGGUGUGUGUGUGUGUGUGUGUGUGUGUAAAAUCUGAAGACAUCACAGGCUAAACAGUUUUCCUCUGCCCUCCUGUUGCUUCUUUCUCUGCUCAGGUAGCGCAAGGCUUCCUUCCUUCCUUCCCUUUGAUCCACCGAUUUAUCUAUCUACUCAUCUUCCUUCCUUCCUUCCCACUCCUCCUCCUUCCUUCUUAACCCUAACCCUCUUAUCGUUUCUUCCUUCUCUUUCCUUUCUCCUCUCUAUCCAUUUUUCUUUCUUUCCUUCUCACCGACUGCUCCUCUUUUCAUCCUUUCUCAUCUUUUCUUCCUCUUUCUUUCCUUCUUUUCCUCCACUCUUCCUCCAUCUACCCUCUCUCCCUCUCUUCUUCCCUUCCCCCUUUCUUCCUUCCUUCCCUUCCUUCUCCUUCUCAGCCACUCCUCCUCCUUCCUUUCUCAUCUUUUCUUCCUCUUUCUUUCCUUCUUUUCACCCACUCACCCUCCCUAUCACUUUCCCUUCUUUCCUUCCUUCCCUUCUCAUCCAUUCCUUUCUUUCUCAUCUUUUCUCCCUCUUUCUUUUUACCCACUCAUUCUCCCUAUCACUUUCUCUUCUUUCCUUCUUUCUUUCCUUUCCUUCUUACCCACUCCUCCUUUCUUUCUCAUUCUUCCUUUCUCUCCUUUUCACCCACUCACCCUCCCUAUCCACUAUCCCUUCCUUCCUUCCAUCUUUAUUUCCUUCCAUCCUUCCUUCCUUCCUCCUUCUCUCCCACUCCUCCUCCCUCAUCUUUUCUUCCUCUUUCUUUCUUUCCUUCCUUUCACCCACUUAUUCCUCCCUAUCCAUUUUCCUUUCCUUCUUCCCUUCCUCCCUCCCUCCCUUACCUUACAUCCCAUAAUAG
rnacentral:lncRNA from 1 species